rnacentral:rRNA from 1 species
AGCAGUAGCCGCGGGAAUACGUAGGUCCCGAGCGUUGUCCGGAUUUAUUGGGCGUAAAGCGAGCGCAGGCGGUUAGAUAAGUCUGAAGUUAAAGGCUGUGGCUUAACCAUAGUACGCUUUGGAAACUGUUUAACUUGAGUGCAAGAGGGGAGAGUGGAAUUCCAUGUGUAGCGGUGAAAUGCGUAGAUAUAUGGAGGAACACCGGUGGCGAAAGCGGCUCUCUGGCUUGUAACUGACGCUGAGGCUCGAGAGCGUGGGGAGCAAACAGGAUUAGAUACCCCUGUAGUCCCUGUCUCUUAUACC